CGCUGGCGGCGUGCUUAACACAUGCAAGUCGAACGGAAAGGCCCUGCUUUUGUGGGGUGCUCGAGUGGCGAACGGGUGAGUAACACGUGAGUAACCUGCCCUUGACUUUGGGAUAACUUCAGGAAACUGGGGCUAAUACCGGAUAGGAGCUCCUGCUGCAUGGUGGGGGUUGGAAAGUUUCGGCGGUUGGGGAUGGACUCGCGGCUUAUCAGCUUGUUGGUGGGGUAGUGGCUUACCAAGGCUUUGACGGGUAGCCGGCCUGAGAGGGUGACCGGCCACAUUGGGACUGAGAUACGGCCCAGACUCCUACGGGAGGCAGCAGUGGGGAAUAUUGCACAAUGGGCGGAAGCCUGAUGCAGCAACGCCGCGUGCGGGAUGACGGCCUUCGGGUUGUAAACCGCUUUCGCCUGUGACGAAGCGUGAGUGACGGUAAUGGGUAAAGAAGCACCGGCUAACUACGUGCCAGCAGCCGCGGUGAUACGUAGGGUGCGAGCGUUGUCCGGAUUUAUUGGGCGUAAAGGGCUCGUAGGUGGUUGAUCGCGUCGGAAGUGUAAUCUUGGGGCUUAACCCUGAGCGUGCUUUCGAUACGGGUUGACUUGAGGAAGGUAGGGGAGAAUGGAAUUCCUGGUGGAGCGGUGGAAUGCGCAGAUAUCAGGAGGAACACCAGUGGCGAAGGCGAUUCUCUGGGCCUUUCCUGACGCUGAGGAGCGAAAGCGUGGGGAGCGAACAGGCUUAGAUACCCUGGUAGUCCACGCUGUAAACGGUGGGUACUAGGUGUGGGGUCCAUUCCACGGGUUCCGUGCCGUAGCUAACGCUUUAAGUACCCCGCCUGGGGAGUACGGCCGCAAGGCUAAAACUCAAAGGAAUUGACGGGGCCCCGCACAAGCGGCGGAGCAUGCGGAUUAAUUCGAUGCAACGCGUAGAACCUUACCUGGGUUUGACAUGGAUCGGGAGUGCUCAGAGAUGGGUGUGCCUCUUUUGGGGUCGGUUCACAGGUGGUGCAUGGCUGUCGUCAGCUCGUGUCGUGAGAUGUUGGGUUAAGUCCCGCAACGAGCGCAACCCUUGUUCACUGUUGCCAGCACGUUAUGGUGGGGACUCAGUGGAGACCGCCGGGGUCAACUCGGAGGAAGGUGGGGAUGACGUCAAGUCAUCAUGCCCCUUAUGUCCAGGGCUUCACGCAUGCUACAAUGGCUGGUACAGAGAGUGGCGAGCCUGUGAGGGUGAGCGAAUCUCGGAAAGCCGGUCUCAGUUCGGAUUGGGGUCUGCAACUCGACCUCAUGAAGUCGGAGUCGCUAGUAAUCGCAGAUCAGCAACGCUGCGGUGAAUACGUUCCCGGGGCUUGUACACACCGCCCGUCAAGUCAUGAAAGUUGGUAACACCCGAAGCCGGAGGCCUAACCGUUGUGGGGGAGCCGUCGAAGGUGGGACUGGA
rnacentral:rRNA from 1 species